GACGAACGCUGGCGGCGUGCUUAACACAUGCAAGUCGAACGGAAAGGCCCUGCUUUUGUGGGGUGAUCGAGUGGCGAACGGGUGAGUAACACGUGAGUAACCUGCCCUUGACUUUGGGAUAACUUCAGGAAACUGGGGUUAAUACCGGAUAGGAGCUCCUGCUGCAUGGUGGGGGUUGGAAAGUUUCGGCGGUUGGGGAUGGACUCGCGGCUUAUCAGCUUGUUGGUGGGGUAGUGGCUUACCAAGGCUUUGACGGGUAGCCGGCCUGAGAGGGUGACCGGCCACAUUGGGACUGAGAUACGGCCCAGACUCCUACGGGAGGCAGCAGUGGGGAAUAUUGCACAGUGGGCGGAAGCCUGAUGCGGCAACGCCGCGUGCGGGAUGACGGCCUUCGGGUUGUAAACCGCUUUCGCCUAUGACGAAGCGUGAGUGACGGUAAUGGGUAAAGAAGCACCGGCUAACUACGUG
rnacentral:rRNA from 1 species